AAUGAACGCUGGCGGCGUGCUUUACACAUGCAAGUCGAGCGAGGCGGCCCGCAAGGGUCAGUCGAGCGGCGAACGGGUGAGUAACGCGUGGAUAACCUGCCCUGAGGUGUGGAACAACCAGGGGAAACUCUGGCUAAUACCGCAUGAUACCGAGAGGUCAAAGGGGCGUCNCAAGGCGUCUCGCCACAGGAGGGGUCCGGCGUCCGAUUAGCUAGUUGGUAGGGUAAGNGGCCUACCAAGGCCACGAUCGGUAGCCGGCCUCGAGAGGGUGAUCGGCCACACUGGAACUGAGACACGGUCCAGACUCCUACGGGAGGGCAGCAGUGGGGAAGUUUUGUCGCAAUGGGCUAACGCCUGACGCAGCAACGCCGCGUGGA
rnacentral:rRNA from 1 species